rnacentral:lncRNA from 1 species
UGCCACCUCAUCGAAAAAAUUGCCUCUUCGUCGCUUGUCAUUCUGUAUUAUCAAUUUGGAUCCCCUGUCCAUCUACAACGCGAGUGCGUGGCCCAUCAUUUCGAUUUCCUAUUGCACAGAAAAAAUAAAUGCUACUCCCCUUCUCACGUUUUGUUUUUUCUCUCAACCUCUUCUCCAUUCUUCUUGCGAAACUCAAACCUCUUCUGCAUGAAAAAAGGAUCACACUUGCAUGUUGCACCUCGUUAGUUUCUAUCCUCUGGUGAGCAGUGCAGGGCGUN